CCAGCUCGGAGGUCGAGUCCACCACGCGGGCCAGCGCGCUGCGCAUCGCCAUCUGGGCCAGGGUGCAGGGCCCGCGACCCCGGGGGCUUACGCUGGCAUGGCCGCUCGGUGUGGAUGCAUCUGUCCGCAGGGAUACCCCGCCCCCAUAUCCUCUGAAGGAUGUCUACCGGUGACCGUUCAUGCCCUGGGGACUGGGGAUGGGAGUGCCCGGGUCAAAGACCCACCAGGAAUCGAUGGAAUUCCAGCCAACUGCAGAAUUGAAAUCACUAGACACAGGCUGACCUGAGGCCCCACUAUUCUACAUACCAGGCUGACUCUGAG